rnacentral:rRNA from 1 species
UACAUGGGGUGCAAACGUUGCUCGGAAUUAUUGGGCGUAAAGCGCACGUAGGCGGUCCGUUAAGUCAGAUGUGAAAGCCCCCGGCUCAACCGGGGAAGUGCAUCUGAAACUGGCGGGCUAGAGUACGAAAGAGGGUCGCGGAAUUCCCGGUGUAGAGGUGAAAUGCGUAGAGAUCCGGAGGAACACCAGUGGCGAAGGCGACACGCUGGGCCGUACCUGACACUGAUGCGCGACAGCAUGGGGAGCAAACAGG